rnacentral:rRNA from 1 species
AUGUUGAUUAAUCACGAAAAACAGAUAGCAAAAAUGAAUGAGCCAUUGCAAGGUCCUGAUUAUGCAGAAACAAUUGAUACAGAUGGCACAAGUGGGAGUGACGAGUCAGAGUUUGAAACAGAGAACCAAGAAUAUGAAGAAGCACAUAUGAACAACUCUAAUCUUGACAGCAGUGAUGAGUUGCCUAAUUCAGACCAACACGAUGAGAGCAUGCAUGAAUCAGGCGACCAAGACAUUGAGCACCGACAGGAUGAGGCCAAGAAUAAAUCAAACAAAGAUAAGAAAAAAUUAUCUCAAGAAGAUAUUGAAUUUUUUCUUGAGAAUGAGGUCAUAGAUAAAGCAUUGAAACUGAGCCAAGAAGAUGAAAAGAAUCACAUGCCAACGCUAAACAUGUCAUUUGAAAGUGAUGCUGAUGCACACCGAUUCUACAAUGAAUACACGGCUAUUGCGGGGUUUUCUAUAUAG